UCGCCCUCAGUACGCAGCCGCCCGCGGGAGGGGGAGCCGGGCCCGGCGGAGCUCGGAGCAGGGGCGCUGUGUGGGCUCGGUAGCUGAGAGGGCUGUGAGCUUCGAAGAACAGAAUCACGGGGUAGUUCGGGUUGGGUCUGAGAUCACCCGCUCCAAACCCCCUGCCAGGGCAGGGUCACCUGGAGCGGACACGGGAACGUGUCCAUGUGGUUUUGGAAUGCCUCCAGAGAGGGAGACUCUGUGCCUUCUCUGGGCAGCUGCUCCAGUGCACUGCGACCCUUCGUGCAAAGUUCUUCCCGAUGUUGAGAUGGAAUUUGUGGUUUAGUUUAUAGCCACUGCUCUUUGUCCUGUUGCUGGGCACCACUGAGAAAAGUCUGGCUCCAACCUCUUGGCACCUCUUGGAUAUAUUUCUGAAAGAAGAGAUUCAGAUGUUUCAUCCUUGAGAUCACCACCUCAAUCCUCAACAUUGAAGACCUCUAAAACCAGCAGAUUAAUUCCUUACUGUACCAGCUGAAGCAGAAUAAGUUAAUUAUGGUGCCAAUCUGUGGGUGAUAAUGUCUGCAUUCAGAAAGCACCGACUCUGCCUUUGCACAUGAAGAGUUGGUCUCAGGAACAUGCUCCAGCACUGCUGCCCCUCUGCCCUGCCACGUGCUGUGCCCACAGCUUCCUCAGGCUGCCCGUGUGGAGCCUGGCCACUUGGAUUUAUGGGAAUGGAGCUGCUCAGCUGUUUGAAGUAAUGGGUGCAUAUUCAUCCAUAUCCAGGAUUCAGAUAUGCAAAACAUCACAGUUUUGGAUCUACCCAAAACUGCACUUCAGUCAUCAAGAGGCUUUGAGGUGCACUGACUGAUUUCGGCAAUUCUCUAGGUGGGCACUGAGCUCCUGCAUCUUUGUGAUGAAAUUCAUGCAGUUCGAUGUCCUUUUGCACUGCACUGCUCCAUCUUCUUAGUUUUUAUUCAACUUUUAUUCAAACAGGAUGCUUUAAGUAUCUGGAUCUUGCAAUUCAUUGUCUGAUUCUUUAGUAGUCAUCAUUCUCACCUGAUAAAAUUGCUCAACUCCUUCACAGCAAUUGAGACAAAUAAAAACUCCUUGAUUCUGAAACUUUGGUGGGUACAGAAGUCAGAAGGAUACAGUCUCUUCUGACUGUAAUGGCUGUGUUGUUGCUUUUGCUGUCAGCAGUGUUUAUUUUUAUUAAUAGAUACUACUUUUUGUUCUCGUUUAGCCUCGUAGACUAAUGUUUAAAGUAGCCGAGAAUCAGAUUUUACCUAAAGAACAUUUCAUUUAUUGAAGGUUAUUUGAAAUUACUGGUAUAAUUCAUGUAUUGCAACUUAGCCAAUAACCAAUAACCUCAUCUUCUUUCUGUGCAAUUCCAGUUCUGCAUAACAAAGAGAGGGCCCUAUGUAUCCAGGGGAAACUGAAUCACUUAAGCAGAAAAUAAAGUCUGUCAAAACACUACAUAAAUGCUGUACAUGCAUCUUUUUUUAAUUGAGUUGGGUAAGUGGAGAGAUUUCCAGUGUAUUCUGAAUGUCUAAUCCCUGGACCAAGUCAAAAAAUGAUCUGUCACUCGUCCAGCUAAAAUACAAGUCACAAG